rnacentral:rRNA from 1 species
AUUGAACGCUGGCGGCAUGCUUUACACAUGCAAGUCGAACGGUAGCAGGUUAAGCUGACGAGUGGCGAACGGGUGAGUAAUGCAUCGGAACGUGCCCGGUCGUGGGGGAUAACGCAGCGAAAGCUGCGCUAAUACCGCAUACGAUCUGAGGAUGAAAGCGGGGGACCGUAAGGCCUCGCGCGAUCGGAGCGGCCGAUGUCAGAUUAGGUAGUUGGUGGGGUACAGGCUCACCAAGCCAACGAUCUGUAGCUGGUCUGAGAGGACGACCAGCCACACUGGGAAUGGGAAACGGCCCAGACUCCUGCGGGAGGCAGCAGUGGGGAAUUUUGGACAAUGGGCGAAAGCCUGAUCCAGCAAUGCCGCGUGCAGGAAGAAGGCCUUCGGGUUGUAAACUGCUUUUGUACGGAGCGAAAAGGUCUCCUCUAAUACAGGGGGCUCAUGACGGUACCGUAAGAAUAAGCACUGGCUAACUACGUGCCAGCCGCCGCGGUAA